rnacentral:rRNA from 1 species
GACAGAGGUGCCAAGCGUUAGGCGGAAUCACUGGGCUUAAAGCGCGUGUAGGUGGCGGCCUAAGUACCUUGUGAAAUCCUGCGGCUCAACCGCAGAACUGCUUGGUAUACUGGGUCGCUUGAGUCAUCCAGGGGCAACUGGAACAAGCGGUGGAGCGGUGAAAUGCGUAGAUAUCGCUUGGAACGCCAAAGGUGAAAACAGGUUGCUGGGGAUGUUCUGACACUGAGAACGGCGAAAGCCAGGGGAGCGAACGGG